GGAGGGGACAGGCCUAAGGCAUUUUGGGCCAAGAAGCUGAAAAUGUCAUUAGUACAAGUGGGAAGGGCACUGCAGCGUAACUGGGGGAUAACUGCCUCCCCUAAAGCAGGUGGAAGGCACCAACGUGGCAUGGCAUUCAGCCACAGCUCCUCGUGUGCUCCCCUGGAUCCAGCACUCCCACUGCGCUGGGGAAUGCCAGUCAUCAACAGCACUCCUCGUCCCUUCGGUAGCUGGGCUGCGUUGCAGGGAUUCCCAUUUGUGGGAUGGUGUGGGCUUGGCCAUGCUCCAUCUGCUGACGUUCCGGGCAGACCGAUGGAGGGCACUAGCUGGUGUGUUUGGUAGCUGUCAUCUUGGGUUCUGUGAUUUUUUACUUGUUGCUGGAGUUUCUUCUGCUGCUGGGGAGCACCACCCUGGGGCUGUGUCAGAGCUUGCCCCAUCUCUUGGUUCUUGCAGGACAGAAGCUGGGAAAGAGGAGACCAGUUCACUUGACGUGUUCCUGCUAGCAUUUGGUGCUGGCAGUGGCAGGACCUGGUGAGACGUGGUGGGGCUUUUAGGGUAUUCCAGUAGGCUGGGUCUGGCUGAACCCCUCUGGGCUCCUCGCUGAAGGAGGAGGUGGCUUCUGCUCAGGUUUCCAUCGUGCGGUGCCCUGAGCCAUGUUGUCUCACCACCUUGUCUGCUGUGUUGUCAUGGGCCUCAUUUCGUUUUCACUUGAGUGGUGAUUGGAACACUGGGCAUGGUUUGUCUGCCUUCCUGCACCAAUGAGUCUUCAAGAGCCUUAUCCUCAGCGUGCUCGGCCAUCAGAGCCCUUGUGUAGUCUGACAGCCUCUGCUUUGAAGGCAGUCUUUGUGGCAGACCUCAUGGCGAUGCGCUUAAAAGUUACCCAUCAUCUGCAUGUCUGGCCACACCUCGCUGCAACAAAACCAGGAACAUUGAGGAGGCAGAUCGUAAGCUGGGAUACCAGGUCUUGAGCCACGGAUGCAUAUUCUCACUGCGAUUAGUUCAUUACUCAAAUCGACAGAUAGCCUUUCCACAAACACCUCGUGCUACAUAUGGCAUGCAUUGCACAUAAUGAUCGGCCAUUAUGCUGAUUCACUUAAUAGGUCUGGAGGGAUUUGGGUUUUCUGGUGGAUAAUAUGCCACUUUGUUUGCUUGGACCCUGAGGGCAAACAGGUCCCAUGAUGUGCGGAGUGAGCUGAUGGCUGCCCUGCUUAGGGGUGGUUCUGCUGCUUCACAGCUGUGUAUCAAGGACAGGAUAGCAGCACACCCAGUGCUGCUCAGUGUGACUCUCUAAUGCCUUUAUCGUGAAAGCAGAGUCCAAAGCAAUAGAAAGGGCGUUGUUAGCAACAGGUGCUCUCCAUCCCCUCAACACAAGAGCAGCUGGCAGGGGCUGAAGGAGCUGGAGAGCAUGUGCUGGUGCUGAGGAUGGUGCUCAGAAGGAGUGCUCAGUGAGCAACGAAUGCAAUGUUAUGGGCUCGGGCAGAUUCUCUGCUUGUUGGUAUGUGUGGCAGGGUGCUUUGGAUCCCGGUCACGGAGGGCAGGGAUGCAGAGAAUUUGGGAGUUCUCCAACCCCUUCUCAAAUAACUUCCCCUUCAUAAAGCUUUUCUAGCCUGGGAUGUUUCCUCAUAGGACAUAAAGGACUUUAAAGUUCUUAAACCACCCCUGGCUGAAGGCUGGGAGGAGAGGUCUCACUCAGCACUUCCCUGGGAUCUGUGUUCUGUCCCCAAGUGUUUGCUUCCAACACAUGCUGAGUGCAGCACAGCAUCUCUGUGGGUCGUUGUUCCGAGUCAGCAGCGGUGACCAGCAGGGGCUUAUGGGGGCUGUUCCUGUAAGGAGGGGUCGGGCUGGGGUUGAGGAGCAGCUCUGAGCCUGGUGUGGAGGGCAGGGGAUGCUGCUGUGGGGACUGCUGCUCCACAACAAGUGCCUGGGGGGCUCCUGGCACGGAGCCCUCCGCCACGCCGAGCACAUCUUCCCUGUCCUCACUGUACCAAGUUCCAUUCACCUCCAGAGGAUCAAAUGCUGUCUUCCGCAGCGUGAGGCCACCUCUCUCUGGGCCCCGAAGGGUUCUGCCCGUGGAGCCUGCUGGGAGGCACGCUUAUUGCUUUCAUUUACACCUGAGUUUAGCUAAUUGCUUGAAACUUCUUCAUAACUUGAGCGUAUUUUACUACUACCAGCUCCCUGUCAAAGUCUGGGCUACUGAAAGCUUCUUAGAGCCCUUAAUUUCCAUAGCUGGUGUGUCUAAAACCACAACAUCCCCCUGCCCUGGGCUGCUUCACCAACAGCAGUGCCAUCAUUCUGCUAAGUGAGAGGAGUGAACGCAGUGUGAGCAUUCCGGAGCCCGGCUGCGCUCAUAACUGAGGCUCAUGCUAGAAGCAAGUAGCUCUAAUCAGCUUUUCCAAAGGAAAUGCCUAGAAAGCUUUUAUAUAGAUCAUGAUUUGUUCAUUUUCUUACUUAGGUGCUUAUUUAUAGCCACGCUCAAAUGCUCCAGGGCUAGCCUUGCUCCGGGAGGGAGAAACCUGUGUCUGGUGCUGUGGGUGGGGGUGUCUGGGGAGAGCGGGGUCACCAAAAUACUGUGCAAGUUUGGACCAUUAUCCAAAAAAAAUACAAGUAUAUCAAUUUUGGGAUGUGAAGCUGAACAGGAAUGGCGUAGGGUUUGCCUCAGCUGCACUCCUGGUGAAAAGUCUGUUCUGAUUCACAUGGGGAAAGCGAGCAGGAGGUGACUCCGGGUGCCUGAAAGCUCGGUGGCGUGGGUAACUCAUCACUACAGCUCAUAACCCCUCGAGGAAGGGACCCUUGUGGUGCUAAGCAGGAGGGCAUGGCCACAGCUGGGGCACCUAAAGUGUCUGGAGAGGUCUGGCAAUGCAGGGCCCUUCUGCUGGAAGGAGCCUUGUUCAGAGAGCUGGGGCUGGUUUGGGGAAGGGGUGUUUCCAGCACAGCUUCCUGCACUGCCAGCACAGGCGCUGUGCACAGGACGGGCACCACGAGCGGAUGCCUUUCCCAGCCCAUCCCCUCUGCACACUUUCACCCAUUUCUCAUGAGAAUUGUUUUAUUUUUUACGUAAUAAAUCUCUGCUUUUGUUUGCUCUCUGUAGCAGUGUAACUUCUGAACCAUUACAGGCUCUUUGUUACCAUCUGUGCUAGCAAGACUGUAGAAUGUGCUAGACUAGGGGGGAAUGUUUGACGAAUAAAAAACCUGUAAUCC
ensembl:lncRNA